UACGGAGGGAGCUAGCGUUAUUCGGAAUUACUGGGCGUAAAGCGCACGUAGGCGGCUUUGUAAGUUAGAGGUGAAAGCCCGGGGCUCAACUCCGGAACUGCCUUUAAGACUGCAUCGCUUGAAUCCAGGAGAGGUGAGUGGAAUUCCGAGUGUAGAGGUGAAAUUCGUAGAUAUUCGGAAGAACACCAGUGGCGAAGGCGGCUCACUGGACUGGUUUGACGCUGAGGUGCGAAAGCGUGGGGAGCAAACAGG
rnacentral:rRNA from 1 species